CCUACGGGUGGCAGCAGUGAGGAAUAUUGGUCAAUGGGCGCGAGCCUGAACCAGCCAAAUCGCGUGAGGGACGACGGUCCUAUGGAUUGUAAACCUCUUUUGUCGGGGAGCAAAAGACGCCACGCGUGGCGUUCCGAGAGUACCCGAAGAAAAAGCAUCGGCUAACUCCGUGCCAGCAGCCGCGGUAAUACGGAGGAUGCGAGCGUUAUCCGGAUUUAUUGGGUUUAAAGGGUGCGCAGGCGGAAGAUCAAGUCAGCGGUAAAAUUGAGAGGCUCAACCCCUUCGAGCCGUUGAAACUGGUUGUCUUGAGUGAGUGAGAAGUAUGCGGAAUGCGUGGUGUAGCGGUGAAAUGCAUAGAUAUCACGCAGAACUCCGAUUGCGAAGGCAGCAUACCGGCGCUCAACUGACGCUCAUGCACGAAAGUGUGGGUAUCGAACAGGAUUAGAUACCCUAGUAGUC
rnacentral:rRNA from 1 species